rnacentral:rRNA from 1 species
GACGAACGCUGGCGGCGUGCUUAACACAUGCAAGUCGAACGGAAAGACCCUGCUUUUGUGGGGUGCUCGAUUGGCGAACGGGUGAGUAACACGUGAGUAACCUGCCCUUGACUUUGGGAUAACUUCAGGAAACUGGGGCUAAUACCGGAUAGGAUCUCCUGCUGCAUGGUGGGGGUUGGAAAUUUUCGGCGUUUGGGGAUGUACUCGCGGCUUAUCAGCUUGUUGGUGUGGUAGUGGCUUACCAAGGCUUUGACGGGUAGCCGGCCUGAGAGGGUGACCGGCCACAUUGGGACUGAGAUACGGCCCAGACUCCUACGGGAGGCAGCAGUGGGGAAUAUUGCACAAUGGGCGGAAGCCUGAUGCAGCAACGCCGCGUGCGGGAUGCCGGCUUUCGGGUUGUAAACCGCUUUCGCCUGUGACGAAGCGUGAGUGACGGUAAUGGGUAAAGAAGCACCGGCUAACUACGUG